UUCUUUCUCAUGAUUUGUUUAAUACUACCUCCGGUCUUUUUGUAAGAUCCAAUUAACUGAAUUAUGUGGUUUAAGAAAUAUGUUAAUAUUAGUUAAAAGUAAUAAAUAUGUAAGAAAUGUACUUUUUACCCCAAAUAUGCCUUUAUUUACAAGAGGGUAGGUGAGAGAGAAAUGGUUAGAAAAAAGAUAAAAGGAAAUGUAUGAGAAAAAGAUAAUGCAAUUAAUUGCGGAUAAAAUUGGUCAAAAUAAAUUUAAUAUUUAUAUAACCUCAAAUUGGAUCUUAUAAAAAGAACUGGAGGGAGUAUUACUUAUCAUGUGAGCAUUUACUGCAUCUUUUAUUAUUUUUCAGUAGGUUAGUGCAUUGGAUUUAUCUUGUGGUUGCUUACCAUAAUGAUGUUAAUACAUUUUGUGGGCGCAUCCAACAUUCAAAUGGUGAACCUGAUGAGUGGUUGCCAAAGAGACAAUUUUUUUCCCUUCUGAUGGAUAUAUUUUUGUGGAAUAUUGCUUUACAUAUGUAAAGCAUCUAUUUUGCAGAUGAACAAGAAGUCUUUGUUCAAAGCCCAGCCGGAUAUCAUCACAAUGCUCAACAUUUACGCUCUCGAGGUAGCAUACGGGUAGAUUGAACCAAUGAAAGCGACCGGAAAAUGUGGCCGAGUCAUUAAAAACCAGAAAGAUGAUUGGAUUAUGGUAUAAUGCUGUAAGUUGGAGCCUUAUUUGCCAGCUUAAGCUCAUGGCUGAAAUCAAAAGGGAUUGUGAAGAAUGUUGGAACUGAGACUUUAAGGAUGUUAAAGUUAAAAGUUUUCAACAUGAUCAACUACUCUUUUUCUUGUUCUUUUGGUAACAAUGAUAAGCUAUUUUCUAGGAAUGUUUUUAAUUGACAAAUGACGUGUCUAAAUUGGAAAGUAACAUAAUAAACUAUGGCUCUGAUCACAUAGGCCCAGAUGAUGAAUGAAAUGAGUCCGAGUGUUGCGUGAA